rnacentral:SRP_RNA from 10 species
GCUGGGCGUGGUGGCGGGCGCCUGUGAUCCCAGCUACUCAGGAGGCUGAGGCAGACAAUCGCUUGAACCUGAGAGGUGGAGGUUGCAGUGAG